ensembl:lncRNA
CUGGGGGCUCUGGGGCCUCUGGGGUGCUCUGAUGGAUGGAGGCCCCUGGAGCUGGGGGUGGGGGCCCUUGGACUUGUGGGCCUCUGGUCCGGAUGGCCGGCACCUGGGGUGUGUGGCUUCUGGGGGGGGGGGGGGGGGGGGGUGCUGGUGCCUUUUUUUGUGUGGGCCCUCUCUGGUGGCCCUUUGGGGGUCCUCUGCCCUGGGGGGGGGGGGGGGGAUUGUGGUUGUCCCUCAUGUCUGUGGGGUCACUGGGUCUCUGUGCUGCUUGGGGCCACGGUGUCCUGGUCUCACUCAUCAGAACACCAAGCAGCAAACACACACAUUACACACACACACACACACACACACACACACACACACACACACACACACACACACACACCUACAGCUCCAGAUGUGCACCAACCGGAGAGACAAACGUUGGCUGCAGCUCCACACUAGUGAAGGUUCCCUGGGGGGCUGAAGGCAGAUGUUGGUGGUGGGGGCUGAACCUGUUUAUUAUCACCAUCACAUGAUGUUCACAAGUAUCAGGUACAAGAUCUGAACACACCUGUGUGUGGGUCCAUGGGGACAGAUGUGUGUGUGGUCCAUCGGGACAGAUGUGUGUGGGUCCAUGGGGACAGAUGUGUGUGGUCCAUCGGGACAGAUGUGUGUGGGUCCAUGGGGACAGAUGUGUGUGUGGUCCAUGGGGACAGAUGUGUGUGGGUCCAUCGGGACAGAUGUGUGUGGGUCCAUGGGGACAGAUGUGUGUGGUCCAUCGGGACAGAUGUGUGUGUGGGUCCAUCGGGACAGAUGUGUGUGGGUCCAUGGGGACAGAUGUGUGUGGGUCCAUCGGGACAGAUGUGUGUGGGUCCAUCGGGACAGAUGUGUGUGUGGGUCCAUGGGGACAGAUGUGUGUGGGUCCAUCGGGACAGAUGUGUGUGGGUCCAUGGGGACAGAUGUGUGUGGUCCAUCGGGACAGAUGUGUGUGGGUCCAUGGGGACAGAUGUGUGUGGUCCAUCGGGACAGAUGUGUGUGGGUCCAUGGGGACAGAUGUGUGUGGUCCAUGGGGACAGAUGUGUGUGGGUCCAUGGGGACAGAUGUGUGUGGGUCCAUCGGGACAGAUGUGUGUGGGUCCAUGGGGACAGAUGUGUGUGUGGGUCCAUCGGGACAGAUGUGUGUGGGUCCAUCGGGACAGAUGUGUGUGUGGGCCCAUGGGGACAGAUGUGUGUGGUCCAUCGGGACAGAUGUGUGAGGGUCCAUCGGGACAGAUGUGUGUGGUCCAUCGGGACAGAUGUGUGUGGUCCAUCGGGACAGAUGUGUGUGGGUCCAUCGGGACAGAUGUGUGUGUGGGUCGUUUGGGUUCAGUUCCUUUUGUAUUGUGUUGUCGUGUACACACAGUGAAAAGAACGGGCCCACCUCCAGAACCCUGUGGAACGCGAUGGCGACGUCCCGCGAUGAAGACCAGACACGUUUGCUCGGCUGUUUUUAUUUACUUAUUUAUUAGGAAAAUAACAGGUAUGAAAGUCGACCUCGGCCUCUCAGGAGGAGCUUCAGGCUCUGGAGGUCGUACACCUGCACCUGGCAGCCGGCGUCAGCUGCUGCGAGCCACCUCCCAUCGUCACUGGUGCACAGCAGGUGGACGGGCUGAGGAGACCCUGGAGCAGACACAGACGCUAACACCAAGGCUGUCCGCUGCCCCCCCCCCACUGGGUGCCCCCCCCCCCGCUGGGCGCCCCCCCCCACUGGGUGCCCCCCCCCCCCCGCUGGGCUGCCCCCCCCCCGCUGGGCUGCCCCCCCCCCCACUAACCUAGAUUAGGCUUGAGCGUGUGCAGAUAUCUGCACUCCAGCUGGCCGAGUCCAAGAACAAGGAUGGGAGGAACGAGCAGAGAGCAAAGAGCUUGGAGGAGUCGGAGGAGAAGCACAACUGGUGGGCCCAGCACAGCUCCUUAGGCAUGGACACCUACGGGGGGGGGGAGGAGGAGAGG